rnacentral:rRNA from 1 species
AUCACGUGGGAACAUGCCGCCUUGUGGGGACAACAGCGCGAAAGCGCUGCUAAUCCCGCAUACGCUCGGGCAACCGAGGAAAGCGUGGAAACGCGCAGGGCGAGUGGCCCGCGGCCCAUCAGGUGGUUGGUGGGGGUAAUGGCCUACCAAGCCGAUGACGGGUAGCUGGUCUGUGAGGACAGACAGCCAGACUGGGACUGAGACACGGCCCAG